UACGGAGGGGGCAAGCGUUGUCCGGACUUACUGGGCGUAAAGGGCGCGUAGGCGGCCUUCUAAGUCAGACGUGAAAUCCCCCGGCUUAACCUGGGAACUGCGUCUGAUACUGGAGGGCUUGAGUGCGGGAGAGGGAUGUGGAAUUCCAGGUGUAGCGGUGAAAUGCGUAGAUAUCUGGAGGAACACCGGUGGCGAAGGCGGCAUCCUGGACCGACACUGACGCUGAGGCGCGAAAGCUAGGGUAGCAAACGGG
rnacentral:rRNA from 1 species